rnacentral:rRNA from 1 species
CGAGUCCGAGUCUCCACGGAGACGAAGUGGCGGUCAUCCAGCUUCCUAGAAAAGCUCUAACCACGUUAAUCUUUAGUUGCCUGUACCCGAAACCGACACAGGUAGGGGGGUAGAGAAUACCAAGGGGCGCGAGAUAACUCUCUCUAAGGAACUCGGCAAAAUGACCCCGUAACUUCGGGAGAAGGGGUACCACUGAGAAGUGGUCGCAGUGAAGAGGCCCAGGCGACUGUUUACCAAAAACACAGGUCUCCGCCAAGUCGCAAGACGAAGUAUGGGGGCUGACGCCUGCCCAGUGCCGGAAGGUUAAGGAAGUGGGUUAGGGAUUCGUCCCGAAGCUGACGACUGAAGCCCCGGUGAACGGCGGCCGUAACUAUAACGGUCCUAAGGUAGCGAAAUUCCUUGUCGGGUAAGUUCCGACCCGCACGAAAGGCGUAACGAUCUGGGCGCUGUCUCGGAGAGAGGCUCGGCGAAAUAGGAUUGUCUGUGAAGAUACGGACUACCUGCACCUGGACAGAAAGACCCUAUGAAGCUUUACUGUAGCUUGGAAUUGGGUUCGGGCUUGGUUUGCGCAGGAUAGGUGGGAGGCGAAGAAGAUUUGCUUGUGGGUGAAUCUGAGCCAACGGUGAGAUACCACUCUAACCAGGCUAGAAUUCUAACUUCAACCCGUCAACCGGGGGAAGGACAGUUUCAGGUGGGCAGUUUGACUGGGGCGGUCGCCUCCUAAAAGAUAACGGAGGCGCACAAAGGUUCCCUCAGGCUGGUUGGAAAUCAGCCAACGAGUGCAAAGGCAGAAGGGAGCUUGACUGCGAGACCUACAAGUCAAGCAGGGUGGAAACACGGUCUUAGUGAUCCGACGGCACCGAGUGGAAGGGCCGUCGCUCAACGGAUAAAAGUUACUCUAGGAUAACAGGCUGAUCUCCCCCAAGAGUUCACAUCGACGGGGAGGUUUGGCACCUCGAUGUCGGCUCAUCGCAACCUGGGGCGGAAGUACGUCCCAAGGGUUGGGCUGUUCGCCCAUUAAAGCGGUACGUGAGCUGGGUUCAGAACGUCGUGAGACAGUUCGGUCCAUAUCCGGUGUAGGCGCAAGAACAUUGAGAGGAGUCUUCCUUAGUACGAGAGGACCGGGAAGAACGCACCGCUGGUGUACCUGUUAUCGUGCCAACGGUAAACGCAGGGUAGCCAAGUGCGGAGUGGAUAACCGCUGAAAGCAUCUAAGUGGGAAGCCCACCUCAAGAUGAGUGUUCUCAUGGAGUAAUCCAGUAAGGUCACGGGAAGACGACCCGUUGAUAGGCGGUAGGUGGAAGUUCAGCAAUGGAUGAAGCCGAGCCGUACUAACAGACCGAGGGCUUGAC